ensembl:snRNA U6 U6 spliceosomal RNA
GUGCUCCCUUGGGCAGCAUAUAUACUAAAAUUGGAUGGAUACAGAGAAGAUUAACAUGGUCCCUGUUUAAGGAUGCCAUGCACAUUCGUGAAGCGUUCCAUUAGAAA